GCUUGAAGUUCUCCUAGAGCCACACAGUGGAAAUUGUCUGGCAGUUCUGCCUCGUAGCUAAGCUGACGAUGAAGGUGACAGCUGAGCACCUCCCCUGGAUGACCUGGAGCCCGAUGUGCUAGAUGGAUGGAAAACAAAUAUUUUCCUUUGCCUCCUGGUGGUUAAGCCCUCCUUGCUGGUGAGGACAGGAAGACUGCUGUUUGGUGGCUAAAACGUGUGUUCAACAGUUUAUUCAACAGCCCUUUAUCCAGCUCCCUCACAUACCAGGCAUUAUUCUAGUUCUGGAGGCUGAGAAGUCCAAGACCAUGGCUCUGGAAGAUCCGUUGUCUGAUGCAAGUGGUGCCAAAAUUAAGAAAUUACUUUUGAUCAAAGAUCAAAUUGAGGGCACUCCCGGGAAUACAGUGGUCUAAAGGUGAAGCAAAGGAUGUGACUGUCAAAACUUCUGUUAAGAUCUCAGAAAAAUCAAAGGUCACACAAAGGGCCUUUACAGAGAUUAAUGGUGGCUCUCAUCAGAUCCUCUCAACAAGACAAUAGUGCUUCUAAGAAGCUUAAGGGCAUUGUGUCUCAGCUGUCCUAGCCAAGGCUCAAGGGCGAAAAGAGCUUAUUUCAGGAUGUGUGUGUGUGUGGCUUUUAUCUAAUGGAGUGAACCCCAAGAUGUUUCACAGGAGACCCACAAAAUUCUUAAAAGAGUUAUAAAUCCAGAAACAUCACCAAUUUGGACUCAGGAGGAUAGAGAGAGUGUGGAAAAUGGAGAGGCUUUUGGACCCCAGAAUUAUACUGGAAGGAAGGAGACUGUGAGAGCUGCUUAGCUGUAAACACACGCUACCUUUCGCAACAAAAGGAAGGACGACUCAGAGGUUGGAAUAAAGAACUGAGAAGGUGGAGUUGAGAGUCAGGGAAAAUUGUUCCCAGGCCUCGAAAUCUAAUCAAGGAGCGUCCAACAUUUGUCCAGCUGGAUUUCAGAACUGCCACGGACCAGUGACUCCUUCGUGUAUCCAUUUCUUCCCUUUUUGACAGGAAU
rnacentral:lncRNA from 1 species